UUUUGGGAGUGAAAGCGGAGGAGACUGAAGAUCCGAUUAACACCAGAGAGAGACAUGACUAUUGUGGAUCCUCUGGGAAGCCUCAACAACAUCCUGAUGCUGACGAGGAAGAGAAGAGUCUCUCCAGAUCAGAACACCAGAUGGACAACGCUAGCCCCUCCUCCCUCCUGGAGUCCCCAUGUCGUGUCUCUCCCAAUAGCACCUUACUGCUGGGUAUGAAGAGGUUGUCUGUGCUGCUGGUGGACUGCAGGAAAACAACAGGGCUGAGUGGAACUGUGAGAGGAGGAGAAGAGAAGAAAGGAUCAGAUUUGUCACA